UUCGCAAUGCCCGAAAGGGUGACGAAGCGACGCCGCGUGCGGGAAGAAGGCCUUCGGGUUGUGAACCGCUGUCGGGAGUUAAGAAAUGUAAGGAUGUUAAUAGCAUCUUUGCUUGACUAAGGCUCCGGAGGAAGCCACGGCUAACUCUGUGCCAGCAGCCGCGGUAAUACAGAGGCGGCAAGCGUUGUUCGGAAUUAUUGGGCGUAAAGAGCACGUAGGCGGCUAUGUAAGUCGGUUGUGAAAGCCUUCCGCUCAACGGGAGAACAGCAUCCGAUACUGCAUGGCUUGAGUGCGGGAGGGGAGAGUGGAACUUCUGGUGGAGCGGUGAAAUGCGUAGAUAUCAGAAGGAACGCCGGCGGCGAAAGCGGCUCUCUGGCCCAUAACUGACGCUGAGUGUGCGAAAGCUAGGGGAGCAAACGGGGUUAGAUACCCCGGUAGUCCUAGCCGUAAACGAUGGGCACUAAGUAGAGGGGUUUU
rnacentral:rRNA from 1 species